AACAAACUGUCAAAACUAAACAAAAAAGGGGGAAUUGUUGUGGUUUGUUUUUGGAUUUCAACUGUUUAAUUUGUAAUAUGUUAGAUUUUCCUGUGUUAGGAAAUGGUUCGUUCCAUACCCCCUUCUUCAGUUUCCCAAAUGGUUCUUCCCAGAGUUGUUUACCCAUAUUUUCCCACCUUUCCUUAUGCCAGUCCCCAUGUCAAUCUCCUCCACCCCUCCCAUGUUUGCAAAUUCUCUCUUGUCAGUCCUCUAAACCCAGCCCCUGCAGCUCAUCUGUUAUGGUUUGCUACACCCCUUUAGCCAGAAAAUUCCAUGUCAGUUAUGCUGUUUCCCUUCACCUAUUUUCCAAAUACGUUUUCACUCCUCCCUCCUUCUUCCUCAUUGGUGUUAAGUUGAUGUGAACCCACUGCAUGCUCCUCCUUGCUAACCCUGACUGGUUUGAAAGCAGUCUCCGCUCUUGAGACUGCCCCCCUUUAUAAACUGCUGUAAUCCUGUUGUCACUGCUCCCCUGUGUGUGCUCCGAGUUUGUUUCUUUUUAACAUCCUGGCACUUCUCCCUCCAGGGAAGAAUAAACAUCUUGAAACUUUGCUGCCAGAGAGUCCCUCUCUCUCUUUUUACCACUCAGCAUCAACGAGGAACCUCUCCGGGUGGCCACCUUCAGCCAGGCCAAGUGGAAGGAGAGGUUCCAGCCAAAAGGCCGAACCACUACCCCUGGCCCCAGCUAAGGAGCUCAAGGUGGGGAGCAGCCACUUGGUGGUGCCGCUUGGAGGAAAUGGGCUGAGCAGCUAGCUGGUUACGAGGCUCGCCCUUUCUCCCAGGAUCCAGGCGCGGUGUCACCAAUUGACUUCAAAAUUCAUUUAUUCCAGCCAGGAGAUUGGGUUUUAAUAAAAAUAUGGAAAGAACAGCCAUUAACCCCCAAGUGGGAAGGUCCCUUCUGAAUCCUCCUAACUACUGAGACAGCAAUAAGGACACAGGUCCCAAAGAAGAGAGCUUCCUCCCUCUCAUAUAGUAAUCAGGCCCUAAAAAGAAAAGUAAAAGACAAUAUAUGAGGGGGGAAGGGAGUUACUGCAAAGCAAAGUAACGUAAGAUCACAUUACAGGGGGAAAGACUGGGUCAGGAAACAGUCUUGCCACAAGACAGAUACACCACAGACCCUCCCAAAAGGCAAUGAGAAACAUGGAAGUUGGGAGAGUGCCGUGUGCCAGACCCCUGUUGGUGUUCAGGCUGCUAACAAUAAUAAACAUCCAGGGAAGCCGGAUGGACCCCUGUGACGGGUACUACUAGCCACUCUAUGCAGGAGACUCUUGGAGUGCCAUCCUAAGAGUCUAUACGAAUCCUGAUUAUACAAGCCCUGACUGUAUUGACUUUUCCCAAUUAAAAAUAUGUAAAGGGCAGCAAAACCUAUUGGCUCUCCAAAAAUAUGGCAAAUCAUAAAAAAAACUGUUGGGAGAAUGCCCUAUGAAGGCAAAAUGGAUAUGUUCAGAGAAAAACUUCAAGAAAAAGUUGGAGAAAAAGAGAAUCCAUGAACCAGACUUAAUAAAAGAAAGGGAAGUGAAAGGGGUAAUGAAGAAAGGGAUGGGACUCAAAAUCAUAAGUAGGAAAAAUUUAUUUUUAGACCUAUUGAAAGGAUAAAUUAUGAAUUUAAUAUAAUUAACUGUUGGAUUUGUGGAAACACCAGAACAGCAGGAAUGUAGCCAUGGGAAGGAGUAGCACUGAGUCCAAAAGAAAUCCUAAAACUAAUUAAGAACCAAAUGAAAAGUCAAAGAUCAACACCUGAGUGAGAUGGGCGGAAUGAUGAAGAGGUGUGGAAUUUAAACUCAGAAGUAGUAGGUGAAGAAUGUUUAUGGAGGAAGAGAUCUUCUAAGUUUAUUUCAUAUAUGGGUGAGUUAUUCUGUAAAUGAUAGCUGGUCAGUAAUGAUGCCCAUCAAUGGUGGAUUCCCAGAGCCCCUCACCUAUAUUGGUCUAAGAAACCAAAACAAGGGUGUUCUUACAUCCAAAAAGAAAAGUUAUAUGAACGUUCCUCUAAAGAUCCUAAUACUUUUCAGUAUGAACCUCAAAUACAUAAAUUUUGGAAUAAAAAUGCAAUCACUUCUGUAGAACAUCACAAAUUUUGGAGGGCUCCAAAGGAGUUAUUUUGGCUUUGUGGUACAAUAGCAUACGUUAUAUUACCUAAAGAUUAGGCAGAAAGUUGUACCUUAGGAAUUUUAAGGCCUUCUUUCUUUCUACUCCUGAGAGAUGAAAGUCAACACCUUGGAAUGCUCUUACAUGAUGAAUUAAAGUGUAAGAAAAGAAAUCUAAUUGGCAGAUCUCAAAGGUGGGGGGAAUAAGAGUGGCUCCCAGAAAGGAUAACUGAAACAUAUGGCCCCGCCAUUUGGGCCCAGGAUGGAUCAUGGGGAUACAGAACCCCCAUUUAUAUGUUAAAUAGGAUUAUCAGAUUACAAGCUGUGUUAGAAAUUAUAUGUAAUGAAACAACCUUAGUCCUAGAUAUACUUUCUGCCCAAAACCGUCAAAUGAGAACUGCAAUUUAUUAAAAUCAGUUAGCUCUAGAUUAUCUAUUGGCAGAAGAAGGGUAGGGGUCUGUGGUAAAUUUAAUUCAUCAAAAUGUUGUAUUGAAAUUGAUGAUCAUGGAGAUCUCAUUAAAAACAUCACCACCAGAAUUAGAAAACCGGCACAUGUACCCAUCUAAAGAUGGACCCUGCUAAUAAAAUCCAAUUGGUGGGACAGCCUUUUAGGAGGAGAGUGGUGAAAGAAAAUUUUACUUGUUGUAGGACGGGACUUGAUAAGUAUUACUUUACUCCUCUGUGUUAUACCUUGUUUGAUUCGGUUAAUAACGUAACAUUGUUCAGAAUUCCCUAGAAAGAUUAAGUGAUGAGAAGAUUAAAAAGCUCAUGAUAGUAUAAGAAGAAGAACAAGAGAAGGACUCAGAAACUGCCAAAAAAACUUAUAAGAAAUACCAGAUAUUAAAAAAAUUCUACCAAGCCUAUGAAAGUCGUGUUUAAAGAAAAAGUUUGAUGUGGGCUAAAGCCUAAUCAAAGAUUUAGAGGGAGGAGUUGUUAUAAAUGAAUUCAUUUUCUUCAGUAGAGUUACUAACGGUUGAUUAUUAUAAUGAAUUAUAGUAGAUUGUUAAUUAAUAUAAUAAGUUGUUAUAUAAUUUAUGUAAAAAGUUAAAGAGUUAAAUAUACGGUUAUUUAAAUAUAAAUAGAGAUACUCUACAGAGAAGAAGGGGCUAAGUAAUAAAGUGCAAUAAUAAGAAUCUUCUAGAAAAGUUACAUCAUAAGGUGAUGACAGCAGCUCGAACUACAACUGGAGACAGAGCCACCCAAUAAGAUUGCUGUAUUCCAAAAUGAUUGGUCAGGACUGCACCAUUUUAUGGAACUAUCAUAGAAACGACCAAGAAAACGACCAAUCGACAAGAGGAUCCAGAGCGCACAAAUCGAGUAACCCCAAGAGACUUAAAAAACCCUGGGUGCAGAGCACCCGGGGCCUUUUGCUGGUACCUUGUGUUCCGAGAAGCACCUUGUUACACAGUACUGUUUCAGGUACCCUGGCUUGUUGCACAGGCCCUAAGUUUACCUUGGGGCCUCGUCUUCUGUUGUUCUCAGUUGUAAUAAACAGGCACUAUUUCUUUUCAAAGCCAUCAGCCUCCUUUUAAUUUCAUUUUGCCUGUUUACAACAUAAUUGUACCAAAAGUUUUGAUUCUUAUACACAGGGGGAUAGGGAGAAACAUUUUUAGAGUGAUUCCUUCCUGUGUAUUUAAAAUGAACACAAAAAUCCAAUUUCUCAGAACCCAGGAAUUCUAAUUCUUGGGCUUCCACCAAGGGUGUUUCAGGAGGGUAAGGGAUACAAUUUGAUAUUAUUUGGUUUGCUUUCAAAAAUAUUUAGUGUAAAUAUAGUGUAAAGUUCUGGAGGUGCUAUAUUCCCCCCUAAUUUUUUGGUUUUUAAUAGCAUGUGUGUUUAUGAACAUGAAGGUGACAUGAAAGCAAUAACAAUAUGUAAUAAAAGAAUAAACCUAUACUAAAAAUGGUAAAAUAGUAGUAAAAAUUAAUCAGAUAAUAGAUACAAUUAGUAGCAUGUGAAAAAUAAGAUGGUGAUUUAAAAUAAUACAUGAUCAAUUUUUAAAGUAUUGUACUAUUACUUAGAGUCUGUAGUAAUUGGAAAGCUUAUUUUUUAAAGUGAGGGCUUGAAAAAUCAUUCCCCAGAUAAGAUGUCCAAGUUCACCUUAAAAGGAGGUUUAGCUAUUAUAGGUCCAAAUUUGCUAGGUCAAAAUUACUUGAAAAUAAUUUUGGAGCAGAAAAUUUUCUCUACUAGUUAAGGCCAGGACUUGGCCAGGGCCUGGGCUUUUAACUGGAAGAGUCUUUUUAAUACAUUUUAGAAACCUCUUAGUAAUAGUAAUUAGAAAAAUAAUAUAUGUCUUAUAAAUAGCUAUAUAAUAUAUGUCUUAUAAAUAGCUAUGCAACAAUAAGUCAAGGUUUGUAAAGUAGCUGGCUUUCUCAUUUCUCUUUGGUUAGUCAAUGGUACCAUAGACAAAUAAAAAAUGAAUAAAGUAAUGCUUGUUAUAUAAAGUCAGUGAAUUCACAUCAUAAGAUUAACAACAUAAUAAGGCUUACUAAUACAUCAGUAGAAACUGUCUUAAGAAACUGAAGUUGCAUUUGCUAGACAUUUAUGCAUAUAUGACAUUAAAGCAAAAAAAAAAAGUAAAAAAGGAAGCAUUAAAUAAGUCAUAACUGUGAUGGACAAGUUUAUAAGUUAAUGCUAUUGAAAUUGUUACUGUUAAUGUGAAGUUGCAAUAAGUUAAGUGCAUUAAUUAUGUUGUUGUUAAAAUGUAAAACCUUUAAUGUUACUGUUGACCUGAAGUUGUAAUAAGCAAAGUUGUUGUUAUGAUGUUAAACCUGUUAGUUACCUCCACUGUUAAUCCCCUCAUUUCACACCUACCCUUGUUAUCCCUGUCAGGUGCUGCCUCCACUGCUCUCUAAAAUGGCACCGAGAUAACCUCUCUGGGAAAUAUGCAAAUUAAGGGGAAGUCAAGGGAAUCUGACUAAAGACCCUAAAACCAACAAGCUAAACCAAAAUUUAAGAAACUAAGUGAAGGGUUCUCCUGGCAAAAAGUACUCCUACUCCAUUAGUGAGGUUUUAAAAUCACUGUAACCUAAACGGAACAGAGUCAGGAGUUAGGACGCUAGACUUCAAGCAAAGCAGUUGUCUUCCUAGGCACGCUCGUGAGGACGGAAGCCCCAGUUCUGCUGUGCAGCAAAACUGCAUCACCUCCUCCUCUGCGUUGCUACAGGGAGCAGUGGCGGUGUGCGCGACUACUCGGACCCCCACCCAGAGCUGAUCAUCUAAUAAAGGCAUCAAAAAGGAGAAAGAUCUCCUGCCCAUUCAUUUCAAUAACUAUAAUGGUCAUAAUAUGGAAUUGUUUCUCAUUCUUCAGUAUGUUAUUCUCCAAACUACAGAAUUAGCUUUUGCAUGUUUGAUUAAUUGAGAAUUAAAUUAGAAAAAGUUAUUGUGGUUGUUGAUGAACUGAUGAUUACCAUGUUCAAUCCUGUUAUUAGUUAGUACCCACAAGUUCUAAUUGUAUGUUAAAUACAUUACCCCUUGUAAGUGUGCCUUUUCCAUAAGUUCUAAUUGUAUGUUAAAUAGCGCUUUUAAGUGUGCCUUUUUCCAGAAGCGGAGACAGCCAACCCUCACAAACAGCAGUUUAAGAGUUAAUUUUAGUCCCUGACCAUUGGUCUGCAGCUAAGCUCUGUGACAACAGGAAUUUAAAUGAGGAACUUUCCCACCUUUGAAGCAGAUGACAUCAUUCCAGAAAUCUGUCCCCUAACAAGGAGCAAGCCAUUGGCCAGAGAACGUGACCUCAUGAACACUCUCACCAAUCAUAGUAAACCUUAGAGGCUGGACUAUGGGUGUUCCUGGCAGGGGGCAGAGGAGUUAAAAAACCCAGACACAGACUGACAGGGGUCUUUCUCUCUCAGACUAGCCAGGGUAAAUGUCCUACACUGGGAUCAUAAGGCAAUAUGAGAUUAGAGAUUUUAUAAAAACAAGACCGGAGUGAAAGAAUCUCUGCUCCCGGGCACAUAGCCUACUUGGCUCAGAGUCUUUAA